rnacentral:rRNA from 1 species
CCCAGAUUGAACGCUGGCGGACGCUUUACACAUGCAAGUCGAACGGCAGCACGACUUCGGUCUGGUGGCGAGGGCGAACGGGUGAGUAAUGUAUCGGAACGUGCCUAGUAGCGGGGGAUAUCACGCGAAAGCGUAGCUAAUACCGCACACGCCCCCCGGGGGAAAGCGGGGACUUCGGGCCUCGCACUACGGAGCGGCCGAUAUCGGAUUAGCUAGUUGGUGUGGUAACGGCUCACCAAGGCGACGAUCCGUAGCUGUUGAGAGGACGACCAGCCACACUGGGACUGGAGACAUGGCCUGUAUUCCUACGGAGGGCAGGGGAAUUUUGGACAAUGGGGGAAACUCCCUGAUCCAGCUAUCCCGCGUGUGCGAUGAAGGCCUUCGGGUUGUAAAGCACUUUUGGCAGGAAAGAAACGGCACGGGAUAAUACCCCGCGCAACUGACGGCACCUGCAGAAUAAGCACCGCUAACUACGCCAGCAGCCGCGGUAAUACGUAGGGUGCAAGCGUUAAUCGGAAUUACUGGGCGUGAAGCGUGCGCAGGCGGUUCGGAAAGAAAGAUGUGAAAUCCCAGAGCUUAACUUUGGGAACUGCAUUUUUUUUAACUACUGAGCUUAGAGUGUGUCAGAGGAGGUGGAAUUCCGCGUAGCAGUGGGGUCAUGUAGAUAUGCGGAGGAACACCGAUGGCGAAGGGCAGCCCUCCCGGGGAUAACAUUUGAUGUCAUGCACGAAAGCGUGGGGAGCAAACAGGAUUAGAUACCCUGGUAGUCCACGCCCUAAACGAUGCCAACUAGCUGUUGGGGCCUUCGGGCCUUGGUAGCGCAGCUAACGCGUGAAGUUGACCGCCUGGGAGUACGGUCGCAAGAUUAAAACCUGGAAGGAAUUGACGGGGACCCGCACAAGCGGUGGAUGAUGUGGAUUAAUUCGAUGCAAACGCGAAAACCUGACUGUCUCGAUAUGUCUGGAAUCCUGAAGAGAUUUGGAGGUUUCAAGAGAACCGGAAAUACAGGUGCUGCAUGGCUGUCGUCAGUCGUGUCGUGAGAUGUUGCCGUUCCGCAACGAGUUAAAUCCUCGUCAUUAGUUGUUACGAAAGGGCACUUCGAUGAGACUGCUGCAUAAACCGAGGAAGGUGGGGAUGACGUCAAGUCCUCAUGGCCCUUAUGGGUAGGGCUUCAGCACGUCAUACAAUGGUCGGGACAGAGGGCCGCUAACCCGCGAGGGGGAGCCAAUCCCAGAAACCCGAUCGUGGGGGUCCGAUCGCAGUCUGCAACUCGACUGCGUGAAGUCGGAAUCGCUAGUAAUCGCGGAUCAGCAUGUCGCGGUGAAUACGUUCCCGGGUCUUGUACACACCGCCCGUCACACCAUGGGAGUGGGCGUACUGGUGAAGUAGUUAGCUCAACCGUAAGGAGGGCGAUUACCACGGUAGGAUUCAGGAUUGGGUGCGGAAGUCGUAACAAGGUAG